rnacentral:rRNA from 1 species
GACGAACGCUGGCGGCGUGCUUAACACAUGCCAGUCGAACGGAAAGGCCUCUUUCGGGGGGUACUCGAGUGGCGAACGGGUGAGUAACACGUGAGUAACCUGCCCUUGACUUUGGGAUAACUUCAGGAAACUGGGGCUAAUACCGGAUAGGAGCUCCUGCUGCAUGGUGGGGGUUGGAAAGUUUCGGCGGUUGGGGAUGGACUCGCGGCUUAUCAGCUUGUUUGUGGGGUAGUGGCUUACCAAGGCCUUGACGGGUAGCCGGCCUGAGAGGGUGACCGGCCACAUUGGGACUGAGAUACGGCCCAGACUCCUACGGGAGGCAGCAGUGGGGAAUAUUGCACAAUGGGUGGAAGCCUGAUGCAGCAACGCCGUGUGCGGGAUGACGGCCUUCGGGUUGUAAACCGCUUUCGCUCAUGACGAAGCUUUGUGUGACGGUAGUGGGUAAAGAAGCACCGGCUAACUACGUG